rnacentral:rRNA from 1 species
UACGGAGGGGGCGAGCGUUAUUCGGAAUUAUUGGGCGUAAAGGGUGCGUAGGCGGCUGUACAAGUCAAAGGUGAAAUCCCUCGGCUCAACUGAGGAACUGCCUUUGAAACUGUACGGCUUGAGGCCGGGAGGGGGUAGCGGAAUUCCCAGUGUAGCGGUGAAAUGCGUAGAUACUGGGAGGAACACCAGUGGCGAAGGCGGCUACCUGGACCGGUUCUGACGCUGAGGCGCGAAGGCGUGGGGAGCAAACAGG